GCCAGACUCCUACGGGAGGCAGCGGUGAGGAAUAUUGGUCAAUGGGCGCGAGCCUGAACCAGCCAAGUCGCGUGAGGGAUGACGGUCCUACGGAUUGUAAACCUCUUUUGCCGGGGAGCAAGCGUGCGUUCGUGAACGCGCGUCGAGAGUACCCGGAGAAAAAGCAUCGGCUAACUCCGUGCCAGCAGCCGCGGUAAUACGGGGGAUGCGAGCGUUAUCCGGAUUUAUUGGGUUUAAAGGGUGCGUAGGCGGCGCUUCAGGUCAGCGGUGAAAUACCGGGGCUCAACCCCGGGGCUGCCGUUGAAACCGGAGCGCUAGAAUUCCGAUGCCGUCGGAGGAAUGUGUGGUGUAGCGGUGAAAUGCAUAGAUAUCACACAGAACACCGAUUGCGAAGGCAUCUGACGAAUCGGAGAUUGACGCUGAUGCACGAAAGCGUGGGUAUCGAACAGGAUUAGAUACCCUCGUA
rnacentral:rRNA from 1 species